CAAGUCAAUGAGUGCAGAAGAUACUUUGAUUUGUGGAACUUACAUUUUUAGUGGUAGAACUUGGUGAAUGAAUUAGAACCAGUAGCAGAAUCUAAGUUUUAAGUUGACAGGUUUUCACCCUAGAGACGUAACGAACUCUUCUGUUAUAGCAGGUGUGUGCAACUAUUAAUGAAAAAUGCCAACUAGAUGCGAUAUACAAAGGUUUCAGCAAGGCUUUUGACCAGAUUGAACAUCAAAUAUUGAUAAACAAAUUGAUGUGCAUGUAUGGAUAAGAUCGAGGGAUUAAGCACAAAUCAACAUUGGAUUAGCACAACAAUUGGAUCCUUAAAUGCCGUUUUAUACAUGUAUGUAUUCUUACAAAACAACAAGCUUUAAAACUAUUGGAAUAGGAAAAAAGAAAACAUUAGUGAGGAAGCUAGAAGGAUAGUUACCAGAUGAAACUAUAGAAGAAGAUGAUGACGAAGUUACAGAAUAUGUAGACUUGUUAUGUUCGGAUAAGGAAUAGGGUUUCGUUUGUUUGUUUUUCUUAAAAGAUUUUUCAGGUUUAAGUUUAAUAAAGUGCUUUC